UUUGGACAAAUCUGUCUCAGACAUCUCGGUAUUAACAUCUUCUACAAAAUCAUGUGCAGUGUUAAUACACUGCACAACAGUUUUCCUGAAGCCAGCUAGAGAAGUUGCUUUAGUUUGAAAUAAUUGAACACUGGAGUUCCAGAGUAAUGGAGGUCUGGGCACACUUGGAAAACAGCCAGGUGGCUAUGAGAAAAAAUAUAUGUUUAGGUGAUAAAUUGAAAGCAAGAACACCAGCACAAAGUUCAUGAAAUGCUAUAAAAACUUUUAAAGAUUUUGUUUUAUACACUUUUCUAAUAAUCAUUCUUUUCUUAUUUUUGCAAGAAACCUAUGAGAAACUUCAAGAAAAGAAGUUGUAUCUUCAUUCCCAUGUAUUGCCACACUGUUUUUUCCCUGCAACCUAUAAAACUCAAAAACUCAGCAAGCAAAAACUCUCAAGAAGUUCAGAGCAUAUACAUAUACAAGAGUUUGAUUUUUCAGAUAAUAUUUAGCUUGUAUAUCUCUUUUUCACUUACUUCACAUGCUUUACUUAAUAUUAAUUAUAAUACAGUCAUUUAGGUGCUUCUGAGAUCAAUAAAACUGAAAUUAAUCAUUAUGCACAAUUUGGCUUGCUUCUACAGGAAAAGAGAGGAGAGUAUUCCACCAUAGAACAUUUUAAAGGAUUAUGUUUCUACUCCUUUAAAAUAAAUAAAUAAAGUCUUGAUGUAAAAGGGGAGCCUAAGGAAAUACAUAAAACAAUACUUUGGUUUUUACCUUCACAUCACUGCACAAAGAAGUACCAAAUCCUGCUUUAGAGAAGAAGAAAGGAAGAGGAAUCUUACACACCUGAUAAAUUAAACCUCAUGCCUUAAACCAUUUUAAAAAUGAAUGAUUAAGUGAUAAAUCAUUAUAAAAUAGGUUGCAGGUGUGAUGAGGGGGGUGUAUGUGAAUGACAACUGCAGUAAGUACAGUUGUGGAAAACAGAAGUAGAAAUAGUUGUAUUCGUGUUAUUUGUCCCAGUCACAGUGCUGUGGUAUCAAG